AGUAUUGAACAUGAAAAGAAAACUUGAUAACGGUACAUUCUGAAGUAGUCAUCUCUGAAAAUGGAAUAGUCCUACAAAGAAGAAAAAAACAACAAUGAUUAACUCAUUUGUGGGGAUAGUCAAUUGGUAACCCAUGUGCUUUCACAGUCACGUCUAGCAUAUGUUUCACCACCUUCGUCAAAAUCAAAAGUUGUGUGGUAAGAAGAGAGUGGGGGAUAGUGAGGCAAGAUGUCACUUAUGUCAUCAUCAACACAUUUGUGGGGAAAUUAAUGGCAGUAUUGAACAAUUAGUUUAAACGAAAAUAAAUUUUUGAUUGUGUACGUACCUGAUCACUAAACCAUGCACUGAAGGAUCGAUUAUGUUCAACUUGUAGCCACUGUUCAUUUUUUGUUCUUCUGCGAUUUUCUAUCUUUAAUUGAUUGAAAUGUUGCCUACGAAAUGUUUCAUACAUUAAAUUGGUGGCUUGAGGGUAAAUUAAUGGCAGUAUAUACUCAUACGAAUGCUUACUCAACGUAUGGGUGCACUUCUCCAAUGUUCUGUAAGACAUGAAGAUGUGCUUGCUUGAGUUGUUGGACAUUGGGUCGAACGUAUGUUCCUGCUGAUAGCGGUCGAUCGCUUUGUAUUUCUGUCCUUGAAUUGAGUGACCCAAGUCGAAUAGGAUCUAAUCCAGAAAGAAAAUCUGAACAGAAUUCAACUGCCUCCUCGCAUAUGCUUGCUUCUGCAUUGCAUCCUUCCGGUCGAGCUCUACUGCGAACAUAACUUUUCAACACUUUCAUGCAUCGUUCAAAUGGGUACAUCCA
rnacentral:lncRNA from 1 species